CGUCGUCCCGGCAACCCAAAGGCGUCGGAUUAUGUCGCAACUCGUGUAUGUCUACAGGCUUGUUUUAAAGUGGGUUUGGAGAGGGGACUAACAGAAAGUAUAAUAUUUGGACAAGCAAUUGUUUAGGUUCUGUUCUCCCAAGCAGUGCCUUGUGCAUACCUCAGAAGCUGCAUAUAUCAUUGCCUGUCAGAGUUCACACAUCGGGAACAUAUGGAGUACUCUGCUACACUUUUGACCCCAGCUCUGGCUUACACUUCUGACCUGUGUUGCUAAGCACUCAGUCCCAUUCCCUCCAGCAUCAAGGGGCCCAGUAGAAGAUAAGAUAGAAGAAAACAAAGGGAGAGACUUCCUGUUGAUGUCGCGGCGAGAACUGCUGGAAAAUAGUAGACUCAGCCGUGCCUUGCGAAAUCCAGCUGGUAACCGCUGUUGGGAGACCCAUGGGGUCAUAGCUGCCUUGUAGGGGCAGUAAAGGAAGGAGAGGCGCUUUGUUGACCACGAAGAACUGGCAAUUUCCUCAUUAGGUCCAAAGCAAGCUCUCCCAAAUGGCAGCAGGGACAAUGGCCAUUUUUGGCAGUCACAAAGCUGGGACAACAGACUGUAAGAUUUGUGCUGGAACGGUUCGCGGACAGAGCAUUGAAACUGAGUGAGAUAAUUACCAUCUGAUUUAAGUACAAGAAUUCUAAAAAAGAACUUCCAAGCCUAAGCAAGCGGCAAGGGAAAAAAACUGAAAAUCAAGAGGCGAAAGAAGCCCAAGGGAAGCUUUAAAACACAGAAAACCUGAAAAACAGCUUAAACAAUUUAAAAGGUGAUUUUCGGAAGAAACGCUCAUGUUUAUUUGUAUUUCUAAACUUUCUAGAUUUAUCAAUAAUCAGCCGUUUUUGACAGAUUGUUUAACAUUGGAUUUGGGAAUAAGAGAGCCAUCUACUGGAAGAGGAGUACUACACCACUAAAGCCGCAGUAUACCCAGUGAAAGUGAACUCAAUAAAAAUACAGUCUAAUACACAAAAUAAAAGCUGUUACUUCUUACAAGCCUCUGCUUAAGUCCUUCUCUUUGGUUCCAUGUUGACUUAAGUGCAUCUCUGAACCUUACAAUGUGUUUAUUAGUAAGAGCUGCAGGUCACGCUUGUGUAUUUAUCUAUUGUGCAUUGAUUAAAUGUGUUAAGAGUUGCAGAUGGUGCUUGGGUAUAGUUAUGUAUUAAGCAUUGAUUAAGUUGCAAAUCAUAUGUGUGUUUAUGUAGUAUGCUUAUAUUAAAUUAGUAAGAAUUGCAGUU